GUUUGUUUUUUUUUGUCCCAAGGCGCUGCCGUACCGUCCAGGCGGCGAGUUGCAUUCCGGUUCCGUCGUGUGUCUGGCGUGUGGAGCUAGUGCUCCCGCUUAUUCGCCACUGUCGCCACCGCUGUCAUGAACCGCGAGAGCUUCGCGGCGGGAGAGCGGCUGGUGUCGCCGGCUUACGUGCGGCAGGGCUGUGAGGCCCGCCGCUCGCAUGAGCACCUCAUACGGCUGCUUCUGGAGAAGAGUCUCGCUCUUUCGCCCAGGCUGGAAUGCAGUGUCGCGAUCUCGGCUCACUGCAGCCUCCGCCUCCCGGGUUCACGCCAUUCUCCUGCCUCAGCCUCCCGAGUAGCUGGGACUACAGGCGCCCGCCACCACACCCGGGCAAGUGUCCAGAGAAUGGCUGGGAUGAAAGUACACUUGAACUCUUUUUACAUGAACUUGCAAUCAUGGACAGCAACAAUUUCUUAGGCAAUUGUGGUGUGGGAGAAAGGGAAGGGAGAGUGGCAUCCGCACUGGUUGCUCGUCGUCAUUACAGGUUCAUUCAUGGCAUUGGACGAUCCGGUGAUAUUUCUGCUGUGCAACCAAAAGCUGCAGGCUCUAGCCUUUUGAACAAAAUUACCAAUUCUUUGGUCCUGGACAUUAUAAAGCUGGCUGGUGUCCAUACAGUAGCCAACUGCUUUGUAGUUCCUAUGGCAACUGGUAUGAGUCUAACUCUGUGUUUCUUAACAUUACGACACAAAAGACCAAAGGCAAAGUAUAUUAUAUGGCCACGAAUAGACCAGAAGUCCUGCUUUAAAUCCAUGAUCACUGCAGGUUUUGAGCCUGUGGUGAUAGAAAAUGUUUUGGAAGGUGACGAGCUGCGUACAGACCUGAAAGCAGUGGAGGCUAAAGUCCAGGAACUUGGGCCUGAUUGCAUUCUGUGUAUUCAUUCUACUACAUCCUGUUUUGCUCCAAGGGUGCCUGAUAGAUUAGAAGAACUGGCUGUGAUUUGUGCUAAUUAUGACAUUCCACAUAUAGUUAAUAAUGCUUAUGGAGUGCAGUCUUCAAAGUGUAUGCAUCUCAUUCAGCAGGGGGCUCGAGUUGGUAGAAUAGAUGCUUUUGUUCAGAGCUUGGACAAAAAUUUUAUGGUUCCAGUAGGUGGUGCUAUAAUUGCUGGCUUUAAUGAUUCCUUCAUUCAGGAAAUCAGCAAGAUGUAUCCAGGAAGAGCUUCAGCUUCACCUUCUUUAGAUGUCCUUAUUACUUUAUUGUCACUUGGAUCAAAUGGCUAUAAGAAGCUACUAAAAGAAAGAAAGGAAAUGUUUUCAUAUUUGUCCAACCAAAUAAAGAAGUUGUCAGAAGCCUACAAUGAAAGACUGUUGCAUACACCUCACAAUCCCAUAUCUUUAGCUAUGACACUUAAAACACUAGAUGAACACCGUGACAAAGCUGUCACUCAGCUUGGCUCGAUGCUUUUUACCAGACAGGUUUCUGGAGCCAGGGUUGUGCCUCUUGGGUCCGUGCAAACUGUGAGUGGCUAUACUUUCAGAGGCUUUAUGUCACAUACAAAUAAUUACCCUUGUGCUUACCUCAAUGCUGCAUCAGCCAUCGGAAUGAAGAUGCAGGAUGUGGACCUGUUCAUAAAGAGACUUGACAGCAGCCAGAAGACUCAGCCCAGGCCAGAGGUCGUGGUCUGUGGGGCUCUGGUGGUCAGCAGAAGAGGCCAGGAUAGAGCGAGACGGAUAAUGACCGUGAGCACAGAAAGCUGCAGAGGAGCAGGAUCCAGAAGCAGAAGCUUGUGACUUGGCACCUGUUUCCGGAACCCACUAUGGCCCAACCUUCUCAGAAGAUUUUGCACCUUGAGCCAAAGAGGAUGCAGGGCUCUUGGGACCCAAGAGGCUGAGUAGGGCUCCUGCCCUCCCUCUCCGGCCUGAAGUUUCCCAUUCAUCAGCUGGAACCUUCACACCUGCCCAGAGGACUGCUGACUCGCACUGACGGUGGCCACAAGGUUGAUGAUUCCCUUUCAACAUGAUGAUCCUGGGGCGUGAGACUUAGUGGUGGCUGUCCCCAAGAGCACGCCUGGCAAGAGUACCAGCUGGAAACUGCAUGAGCUUUCUGGGAUGAGGCAUGUGGCCUUUCUUCCAUUGCCUUUUAUUGGUAACAAGUAAGUCACAAAGGCUGGCUCAGUCUCAGGAGGAGGGGACACAGACUCCCGCCUUUCUCAAAGAAUGUAUAGAUUUGUUUAGAACCAUCACAUGAAUCAGUGAGACGUGUGCUCAGUGAUGGUCACUGGGUGGGGAGGAAGCAGUUGGAACACAGACAUGGUAGCUGGAGCUCAAGCAACCAUCUUGGACCAUGAGGACUCCACGGACAGACACCAGGAGCCAACAGCACUGCACAGACAAUAGUGACCAUGCACAGUGAGUAGAAUCUCAACCUGACGCAGGUGAGUCCUAAGAGCUGAGGAGGCCUUGUGUUGCCCUGGGCAUCAAUACCAGUGGUCAGUGCUGGCUGGGUCUCCUCCCUGUCUUAUGAGAGCUCUGUGAGCUGCCGACCACGGCAGCAGCUGACUUGGGAAGCACCAAGGGGCUGGUCCAGGGCAGAUGUGCCCAGGCAGGUGGAGGUGUCUGCAUGGGGCAGGGCUAGCCCUGGAGCUACACUGGCCCCUAGGUAGGCCAGGUCGAGUGAGCUGGUGUGAUCACCAGUGGGUUGCUUCUAACCAUUGACAUCUUGGAGAGGGAGGUUUUGAAGUCAACUUUGCUUUAUAGAAACCGGCCCAAUUGCAGGACAGCUUUCUGGAGGGUCCCAAAAAUUGUGGUAUUGCCUGAGGUCUGGGGAGUAUGGACCAGGGCAGGAGAAACUCAGGGACUUGUUCCAAAAGUCUUCCAAUUUCUCCCACAGCCGUCACCCCAACCACCACCUAGGAAACAGGAAACCACUCCCCGAAGAAGAGUCAACAGAUGGUUCAUGGAACAACAAACAUAGGAACACUUGCUAUUCAGUAAGGGCCUAGGCUUUUCCUAUAUUAUCCUAUGUUAUCUCCUUUCACCUUCACAACAGCUCUGCAAGAGAAUAUCACUAUUCACUUUCUACAGAGGAGGAGACUGAAAUUCAGAAAGAUGAAGUCAUGUGCCUAAGAUCACAUGACAAGUGGCAGAGACAAGCCUGAAAGCCAAACCUACCUGGCCGUGAAUCUUGUUUUCUUUUCUCUGCCCUAUCCUAACCCUCACCUCUAGAUAUGGCACUGGGAGUUGGGCUUGGACACGCUCCAGGAUCCUUGAGUGACAGCAGAAAUAUGUCUGCGGCUGCCUCAGGCCAUUCAAUAGUAAGCUCAGCUGGUUCCAGGACAAAUCCUGUAGGAGGGGAGCACUCUCAAUGCUUGGAGGCCCCAUGGGGGUUCCACCAGACGCUGCCCAGACCAUCUGCAGCCAGGACAGCAGAGGCGGGGGCCCAGCAGCUGGGAAAAUGACUGUGGAACGAUUUCCCAGAAAAGAAUAAUGGAAAAUGGGGCUUAUUAGUGGGGAAAAGUGAAGAUUAUGCAACUAAAGGACUGGAUUUUCCAUACGAAGGCUUCUCUCCCUGUCUCUCAUUCUUCAUCUUGCUUUGAUUGCCAACAAAGCCCUGUCUUUUUCUAGACUGAGCAAAUGGUUUGUCCUCAAUGCUUUCUUGGGAACACUUGGCCCAAAACUCACCUUGGAUGAGACCUGAGAACACAACAGCAGGGGAAAGGCUCUCGGCCCCGGGCAUUUUGCCUUCUUAGACACAAAAAGUGUGAGCAGACUCCAUCUUAGCAUGGCUUGGGUUGCAGAGGCCCCAUAAGAGAACCAUGCUCCAUGAACAUCCUCCUAAGUCCAAAAUCCUCUGAAAACCUAAAGUUUAAGAAAAUCUGACCCGACUCCAACUACGCGAGGCUCUUUCUAGUCUUUGUUUAUCCCACAUUGUGUGAAUAUACAUACCUUUUUGCUGCAGAAA